AUUGAACGCUGGCGGCAGGCCUAACACAUGCAAGUCGGACGAGUCGGGCGCGGGUGUGAUAUGUCGGGGAAACUGCCUGAUGGCGGGGGAUCACUUGUGGAAACGGUCUCUAAUACCACAUACCAUCGUAAGUGCCCAUAUGGGAUUAGCUAGUAGGUGGGGUAAAGGCUCACCUAGGCGACGAUCCCUAGCGUGUCUGAGAGGAUGACCAGCCACACUGGAACUGAGACACGGUCCAGACUCCUACGGGAGGCAGCAGUGGGGAAUAUUGCACAAUGGGCGCAAGCCUGAUGCAGCCAUGCCGCGUGUAUGAAGAAGGCCCUAGGGUUGUAAAGUACUUUCAGUGGGGAGGCGUUACCGGCAGAAGAAGCACCGGCUAACUCCGUGCCAGCCGCCGCGGUAAUUC
rnacentral:rRNA from 1 species